GAUGAAGAACGUAGUGAAAUGCGAUAAGUAGUGUGAAUUGCAGAAUUCAGUGAAUCAUCGAAUCUUGAACGCACAUUGCGCCCCUUGGUAUUCCAUGGGGCAUGCCUGUUCGAGCGUCAUUUGUACCUUCAAGCUUUGCUUGGUGUUGGGUGUUUGUCUCGCCUUUGCGUGUAGACUCGCCUUAAAAUAAUUGGCAGCCGGCGUAUUGAUUUCGGAGCGCAGUACAUCUCGCGCUUUGCACUCAUAACGACAGCGUCCAAAAGUACAUUUUACACUCUUGACCUCGGAUCAGGUAGGGAUACCCGCUGAACUUAAGCAUAUCAAUAAGCGGAGGA
rnacentral:misc_RNA from 1 species